rnacentral:rRNA from 1 species
GAUGAACGCUGGCGGCGUGCCUAAUACAUGCAAGUCGAGCGAACAGACGAGGAGCUUGCUCCUCUUACGUUAGCGGCGGACGGGUGAUUAACACGUGGAUAACCUACCUAUAAGACUGGGAUAACUUCGGGAAACCGGAGCUAAUACCGGAUAAUAUAUUGAACCGCAUGGUUCAAUAGUGAAAGACGGUUUUGCUGUCACUUAUAGAUGUAUCCGCGCCGCAUUAGCUAGUUGGUAAGGUAACGGCUUACCAAGGCAACGAUGCGUAGCCGACCUGAGAGGGUGAUCGGCCACACUGGAACUGAGACACGGUCCAGACUCCUACGGGAGGCAGCAGUAGGGAAUAUUCCGCAAUGGGCGAAAGCCUGACGGAGCAACGCCGCGUGAGUGAUGAAGGUCUUCGGAUCGUAAAACUCUGUUAUUAGGGAAGAACAAAUGUGUAAGUAAAUAUGCACGUCUUGACGGUACCUAAUCAGAAAGCAACGGCUAACUACGUG